CGAAUGCUGACAUAAGUAACGAUAAAGCGGGUGAAAAGCCCGCUCGCCGGAAGACCAAGGGUUCCUGUCCAACGUUAAUCGGGGCAGGGUGAGUCGACCCCUAAGGCGAGGCCGAAAGGCGUAGUCGAUGGGAAACAGGUUAAUAUUCCUGUACUUGGUGUUACUGCGAAGGGGGGACGGAGAAGGCUAUGUUGGCCGGGCGACGGUUGUCCCGGUUUAAGCGUGUAGGCUGGUUUUCCAGGCAAAUCCGGAAAAUCAAGGCUGAGGCGUGAUGACGAGGCACUACGGUGCUGAAGCAACAAAUGCCCUGCUUCCAGGAAAAGCCUCUAAGCAUCAGGUAACAUCAAAUCGUACCCCAAACCGACACAGGUGGUCAGGUAGAGAAUACCAAGGCGCUUGAGAGAACUCGGGUGAAGGAACUAGGCAAAAUGGUGCCGUAACUUCGGGAGAAGGCACGCUGAUAUGUAGGUGAAGCGACUUGCUCGUGGAGCUGAAAUCAGUCGAAGAUACCAGCUGGCUGCAACUGUUUAUUAAAAACACAGCACUGUGCAAACACGAAAGUGGACGUAUACGGUGUGACGCCUGCCCGGUGCCGGAAGGUUAAUUGAUGGGGUUAGCGCAAGCGAAGCUCUUGAUCGAAGCCCCGGUAAACGGCGGCCGUAACUAUAACGGUCCUAAGGUAGCGAAAUUCCUUGUCGGGUAAGUUCCGACCUGCACGAAUGGCGUAAUGAUGGCCAGGCUGUCUCCACCCGAGACUCAGUGAAAUUGAACUCGCUGUGAAGAUGCAGUGUACCCGCGGCAAGACGGAAAGACCCCGUGAACCUUUACUAUAGCUUGACACUGAACAUUGAGCCUUGAUGUGUAGGAUAGGUGGGAGGCUUUGAAGUGUGGACGCCAGUCUGCAUGGAGCCGACCUUGAAAUACCACCCUUUAAUGUUUGAUGUUCUAACGUUGACCCGUAAUCCGGGUUGCGGACAGUGUCUGGUGGGUAGUUUGACUGGGGCGGUCUCCUCCUAAAGAGUAACGGAGGAGCACGAAGGUUGGCUA
rnacentral:rRNA from 1 species